UAUGUAGGGUGCGAGCGUUGUCCGGAAUUACUGGGCGUAAAGAGCUCGUAGGUGGUUUGUCGCGUUGUUCGUGAAAACUCACAACUCAAUUGUGGGCGUGCGGGCGAUACGGGCAGACUGGAGUACUGCAGGGGAGACUGGAAUUCCUGGUGUAGCGGUGGAAUGCGCAGAUAUCAGGAGGAACACCGGUGGCGAAGGCGGGUCUCUGGGCAGUAACUGACGCUGAGGAGCGAAAGCGUGGGGAGCGAACAGG
rnacentral:rRNA from 1 species